GGGUUGUGAGGUUAAGUGACUAAGCGUACACGGUGGAUGCCUAGGCAGUCAGAGGCGAUGAAGGACGUGCUAAUCUGCGAUAAGCGUCGGUGAGCUGAUAUGAAGCAUUAUUAGCCGGCGAUGUCCGAAUGGGGAAACCCAGUGCAAUUCGUUGCACUAUCGUUAAGUGAAUACAUAGCUUGACGAGGCGAACCAGGGGAACUGAAACAUCUAAGUACCCUGAGGAAAAGAAAUCAACCGAGAUUCCCCCAGUAGCGGCGAGCGAACGGGGAAGAGCCCAGAACCUGAAUCAGUUUGUGCAUUAGUGGAAGCGUCUGGAAAGUCGCGCGAUACCGGGUGAUAGCCCCGUACACGAAGGUGCACAGCUGUGAGUUCGAUGAGUAGGGCGGGACACGUGUUAUCCUGUCUGAAUAUGGGGGUCCUCCAAGGCUAAAUACUCCUGACUGACCGAUAGUGAACCAGUACCGUGAGGGAAAGGCGAAAAGAACCCCGGCGAGGGAACCUGAAACCGUGUACGUACAAGCAGUGGGAGCAUCCUUCGGGUGUGACUGCGUACCUUUUGUAUAAUGGGUCAGCGACUUAUAUUUUGUAGCAAGGUUAACCGAAUAGGGGAGCCGUAGGGAAACCGAGUCUUAACUGGGCGUCUAGUUGCAAGGUAUAGACCCGAAACCCGGUGAUCUAGCCAUGGGCAGGUUGAAGGUUGGGUAACACUAACUGGAGGACCGAACCGACUAAUGUUGAAAAAUUAGCGGAUGACUUGUGGCUGGGGUGAAAGGCCAAUCAAACCGGGAGAUAGCUGGUUCUCCCCGAAAGCUAUUUAGGUAGCGCCUCGUGAACUCAUCUUCGGGGUAGAGCACUGUUUCGGCUAGGGGGUCAUCCCGACUUACCAACCCGAUGCAAACUACGAAUACCGAAGAAUGUUAUCACGGGAGACACACGGCGGGUGCUAACGUCCGUCGUGAAGAGGGAAACAACCCAGACCGCCAGCUAAGGUCCCAAAGUCAUGGUUAAGUGGGAAACGAUGUGGGAAGGCAUAGACAGCCAGGAUGUUGGCUUAGAAGCAGCCAUCAUUUAAAGAAAGCGUAAUAGCUCACUGGUCGAGUCGGCCUGCGCGGAAGAUGUAACGGGGCUAAACCAUGCACCGAAGCUGCGGCAGCGACACUAUGUGUUGUUGGGUAGGGGAGCGUUCUGUAAGCCUGUGAAGGUGGCCUGUGAGGGCUGCUGGAGGUAUCAGAAGUGCGAAUGCUGACAUAAGUAACGAUAAAGCGGGUGAAAAGCCCGCUCGCCGGAAGACCAAGGGUUCCUGUCCAACGUUAAUCGGGGCAGGGUAAGUCGACCCCUAAGGCGAGGCCGAAAGGCGUAGUCGAUGGGAAACAGGUUAAUAUUCCUGUACUUGGUGUUAUUGCGAAGGGGGGACGGAGAAGGCUAGACCGGCCGGGCGACGGUUGUCCCGGUUUAAGCGUGUAGGUGUGAUGACCUGGCAAAUCCGGUUAUCUUUAACACUGAGGCGUGAUGACGAGGCACUACGGUGCUGAAGUGGUUAAUGCCCUGCUUCCAGGAAAAGCCUCUAAGCUCUAGAUAACACUGAAUCGUACCCCAAACCGACACAGGUGGUCAGGUAGAGAAUACCAAGGCGCUUGAGAGAACUCGGGUGAAGGAACUAGGCAAAAUGGUGCCGUAACUUCGGGAGAAGGCACGCUGGCAUGUAGGUGAAGUCCCUCGCGGAUGGAGCCGAAGCCAGUCGAAGAUACCAGCUGGCUGCAACUGUUUAAUAAAAACACAGCACUCUGCAAACACGAAAGUGGACGUAUAGGGUGUGACGCCUGCCCGGUGCUGGAAGGUUAAUUGAUGGGGUCAGCCGCAAGGCGAAGCUCUUGAUCGAAGCCCCAGUAAACGGCGGCCGUAACUAUAACGGUCCUAAGGUAGCGAAAUUCCUUGUCGGGUAAGUUCCGACCUGCACGAAUGGCGUAAUGAUGGCCAGGCUGUCUCCACCCGAGACUCAGUGAAAUUGAACUCGCUGUGAAGAUGCAGUGUACCCGCGGCAAGACGGAAAGACCCCGUGAACCUUUACUAUAGCUUGACACUGAACAUUGAACCUUGAUGUGUAGGAUAGGUGGGAGGCUUUGAAGUGUGGACGCCAGUCUGCAUGGAGCCGACCUUGAAAUACCACCCUUUAAUGUUUGAUGUUCUAACCUGGUCCCGUAAUCCGGGAUAGGGACAGUGUCUGGUGGGUAGUUUGACUGGGGCGGUCUCCUCCCAAAGAGUAACGGAGGAGCACGAAGGUUAGCUAAUCCUGGUCGGACAUCAGGAGGUUAGUGCAAAGGCAUAAGCUAGCUUGACUGCGAGAGUGACGGCUCGAGCAGGUGCGAAAGCAGGUCUUAGUGAUCCGGUGGUUCUGAAUGGAAGGGCCAUCGCUCAACGGAUAAAAGGUACUCCGGGGAUAACAGGCUGAUACCGCCCAAGAGUUCAUAUCGACGGCGGUGUUUGGCACCUCGAUGUCGGCUCAUCACAUCCUGGGGCUGAAGUAGGUCCCAAGGGUAUGGCUGUUCGCCAUUUAAAGUGGUACGCGAGCUGGGUUUAGAACGUCGUGAGACAGUUCGGUCCCUAUCUGCCGUGGGCGUUGGAAGAUUGAGAGGGGCUGCUCCUAGUACGAGAGGACCGGAGUGGACGCACCGCUGGUGUUCGGGUUGUGAUGCCAAUUGCAUUGCCCGGUAGCUACGUGCGGAAGAGAUAAGCGCUGAAAGCAUCUAAGCGCGAAACUUGCCUCGAGAUGAGUCUUCCCUUGGACCUUGAGUCCACUAAAGGAACGUUUAAGACUAAGACGUUGAUAGGCUGGGUGUGUAAGCGUAGCGAUACGUUGAGCUAACCAGUACUAAUGAUCCGUGAGGCUUAACCUUACAACACCGAAGGUGUUUUAG
rnacentral:rRNA from 1 species